AACUUUGCUCAUUUAAAUUUCAGAUGUUGCGUAAUUUCCAGAGCGUAUUUCGCGUAUUGGGACGACAAACUCGUCAGUAUUCUGUCAAGUCGGACCAUGCAGUUUGGUCUCUAGGAAGGCUUAAUCAUGUCGCUAUAGCGGUGCCUGAUUUAGAAGCUGCUACAGCACUUUAUCGUGAUAUUCUAGGGGCUACAGUUAGUGAGCCUCAGGGACUACCGGAGCAUGGGGUAACUACAGUGUUUGUUAACCUUGAUAAUACCAAGCUUGAAUUAUUGCAUCCGUUAGGAGACAAUUCUCCAAUUGCUGGUUUCCUCAAAAAGAAUGCAUCAGGCGGUAUUCAUCAUAUAUGUAUUGAGGUCAAUAACAUAGACGCAGCAGUUCAACAGAUGAAGGAGAAAAAUAUUCGCUGUCUUUCUAAGGAAACAAGAAUAGGGGCCCAUGGUAAACCUGUAAUGUUUCUGCAUCCUAAGGACUGUAAUGGAGUUCUAGUUGAGUUAGAACAAGAAUAAAUAUACUUAAUCAUGUACAAGAACAGGGCUCACCCACAAAGGAUGAGAUUUAAAGUCGACCUUAAAGUCCUUUUGAUCUUGUGCAAGUAUGGGGCUUACCAACAAAGAAUGAGACUAAUGCCGACCAAAAAUGAAAUAUAAUAAUCUUCAGGUCUAAAUUGGUUGUGUGCUUCGGACAAAGUUUUAAAGAAAUGUACGAAAUUAUUUGUAAAGAAAAAAGUUUAUAAUUGUGGAAUAAAAUCUAUUAAAUCA
rnacentral:misc_RNA from 1 species